rnacentral:lncRNA from 1 species
GGGGCGCCUGUGGGAGCCGUGGAGGGAACUUUCCCAGUCCCCGAGGCGGAUCCGGUGUUGCAUCCUUGGAGCGAGCUGAGAGCUCGAGGUGAGCUGGGCUCGCGGUCGCCCCUCUCGCGCGCCCUCUUUAAGAACCACGGCGUCCAACCUCCCUGGAAAUGGGGGGAACAUGGCCGAGGCGCGUGGCGAGGCCGCCUCGUGGAGGCCCCGGAGCGGCAUCCUCAGCGCCCCAGCGAUCCGGUGCCCAUUAGUACAGAACCUGCUAAGGCCAUCAAACCUAUUGAUCGGAAGUCAGUCCAUCAGAUUUGCUCUGGGCCGGUGGUACCGAGUCUAAGCACUGCGGUGAAGGAGUUAGUAGAAAACAGUCUGGAUGCUGGUGCCACUAAUAUUGAUCUAAAGCUUAAGGACUAUGGAGUGGAUCUCAUUGAAGUUUCAGGCAAUGGAUGUGGGGUAGAAGAAGAAAACUUCGAAGGCUUAACUCUGAAACAUCACACAUCUAAGAUUCAAGAGUUUGCCGACCUACCUCAGGACUCCUAGAAGUACCCCACCCCACCCCUGCUCCUUGGAGGACAACGUGAUCACUGUAUUCAGCUCUGUCAAGAAUGGUCCAGGUUCUUCUAGAUGAUCUGCACAAAUGGCUCCUCUCCUCCUUCCUGAUGUCUGCCAUUAGCACUGGAAUAAAGUUCCUGCUGAAAAUCC